CCUUGUACACACCGCCCGUCAAGUCAUGGGAGCCGGGAAUAGCCGAAGCCGCUGAAUUUCGUCAGUGUCUACGCUAGGCUCGGUGACUGGGACU
rnacentral:rRNA from 1 species